rnacentral:rRNA from 1 species
AUUGAACGCUGGCGGCAUGCUUUACACAUGCAAGUCGAACGGUAACAGGCCGCAAGGUGCUGACGAGUGGUGAGCGGGUGAGUAAUGCAUCGGAACGUGCCCAGUCGUGGGGGAUAACGCAGCGAAAGCUGCGCUAAUACCGCAUACGAUCUAUGGAUGAAAGCGGGGGACCGUAAGGCCUCGCGCGAUUGGAGCGGCCGAUGUCAGAUUAGGUAGUUGGUGGGGUAAAGGCCUACCAAGCCAACGAUCUGUAGCUGGUCUGAGAGGACGACCAGCCACACUGGGACUGAGACACGGCCCAGACUCCUACGGGAGGCAGCAGUGGGGAAUUUUGGACAAUGGGCGCAAGCCUGAUCCAGCAAUGCCGCGUGCAGGAAGAAGGCCUUCGGGUUGUAAACUGCUUUUGUACGGAACGAAACGGUCCGGGUUAAUACCCUGGGCUAAUGACGGUACCGUAAGAAUAAGCACCGGCUAACUACGUGCCAGCAGCCGCAGUAAUAC